UACGUAGGGCGCAAGCGUUGUCCGGAAUUAUUGGGCGUAAAGAGCUCGUAGGCGGCCUGUUACGUCUGCUGUGAAAUCCCGGGGCUUAACCCCGGGCGUGCAGUGGAUACGGGCAGGCUGGAGGCAGGCAGGGGAGAACGGAAUUCCCGGUGUAGCGGUGAAAUGCGCAGAUAUCGGGAGGAACACCGGUGGCGAAGGCGGUUCUCUGGGCCGGUACUGACGCUGAGGAGCGAAAGCGUGGGGAGCGAACAGG
rnacentral:rRNA from 1 species